rnacentral:rRNA from 1 species
AUUGAACGCUGGCGGCAUGCCUUACACAUGCAAGUCGAACGGCAGCACGGGUGCUUGCACCUGGUGGCGAGUGGCGAACGGGUGAGUAAUACAUCGGAACGUACCUUAUCGUGGGGGAUAACAAAUUGAAAAAUUUGCUAAUACCGCAUAAUACUCUGAGGAGGAAAGCGGGGGAUUCGUAAGAACCUCGUGCGUUUAGAGCGGCCGACGGCUGAUUAGCUAGUUGGUGAGGUAAAGGGCCACCAAGGAAAGGAUCAGUAGCAGGUCUGAGAGGAUGAUCAGCCACACUGGAACUGAGAAACGGUCCAGACUCCUACGGGAGGCAGCAGUGGGGAAUUUUAGACAAUGGACGAGAGUCUGAUCCAGCAAUGCCGCGUGAGUGAAGAAGGCCUUCGGGUUGUAAAGCUCUUUUGUCAGUGAAGAAAACUUUAGUAAUAACACUAUUAAAGCAUGACGGUAACUGAAGAAUAAGGACCGGCUAACUACGUGCCAGCCGCCGCGGUAA